rnacentral:rRNA from 1 species
AACGCUGGCGGCGUGCCUAAUACAUGCAAGUAGAACGCUGAAGAGAGGAGCUUGCUCUUCUUGGAUGAGUUGCGAACGGGUGAGUAACGCGUAGGUAACCUGCCUUGUAGCGGGGGAUAACUAUUGGAAACGAUAGCUAAUACCGCAUAACAAUGGAUGACACAUGUCAUUUAUUUGAAAGGGGCAAUUGUUCCACUACAAGAUGGACCUGCGUUGUAUUAGCUAGUAGGUGAGGUAAUGGCUCACCUAGGCGACGAUACAUAGCCGACCUGAGAGGGUGAUCGGCCACACUGGGACUGAGACACGGCCCAGACUCCUACGGGAGGCAGCAGUAGGGAAUCUUCGGCAAUGGGGGCAACCCUGACCGAGCAACGCCGCGUGAGUGAAGAAGGUUUUCGGAUCGUAAAGCUCUGUUGUAAGUCAAGAACGGGUGUGAGAGUGGAAAGUUCACACUGUGACGGUAGCUUACCAGAAAGGGACGGCUAACUACGUGCCAGCAGCCGCGGUAAUACGUAGGUCCCGAGCGUUGUCCGGAUUUAUUGGGCGUAAAGCGAGCGCAGGCGGUUUGAUAAGUCUGAAGUUAAAGGCUGUGGCUCAACCAUAGUUCGCUUUGGAAACUGUCAAACUUGAGUGCAGAAGGGGAGAGUGGAAUUCCAUGUGUAGCGGUGAAAUGCGUAGAUAUAUGGAGGAACACCGGUGGCGAAAGCGGCUCUCUGGUCUGUAACUGACGCUGAGGCUCGAAAGCGUGGGGAGCGAACAGGAUUAGAUACCCUGGUAGUCCACGCCGUAAACGAUGAGUGCUAGGUGUUGGAUCCUUUCCGGGAUUCAGUGCCGCAGCUAACGCAUUAAGCACUCCGCCUGGGGAGUACGACCGCAAGGUUGAAACUCAAAGGAAUUGACGGGGGCCCGCACAAGCGGUGGAGCAUGUGGUUUAAUUCGAAGCAACGCGAAGAACCUUACCAGGUCUUGACAUCCCGAUGCUAUUUCUAGAGAUAGAAAGUUACUUCGGUACAUCGGUGACAGGUGGUGCAUGGUUGUCGUCAGCUCGUGUCGUGAGAUGUUGGGUUAAGUCCCGCAACGAGCGCAACCCCUAUUGUUAGUUGCCAUCAUUCAGUUGGGCACUCUAGCGAGACUGCCGGUAAUAAACCGGAGGAAGGUGGGGAUGACGUCAAAUCAUCAUGCCCCUUAUGACCUGGGCUACACACGUGCUACAAUGGUUGGUACAACGAGUUGCGAGUCGGUGACGGCGAGCUAAUCUCUUAAAGCCAAUCUCAGUUCGGAUUGUAGGCUGCAACUCGCCUACAUGAAGUCGGAAUCGCUAGUAAUCGCGGAUCAGCACGCCGCGGUGAAUACGUUCCCGGGCCUUGUACACACCGCCCGUCACACCACGAGAGUUUGUAACACCCGAAGUCGGUGAGGUAACCUUUUGGAGCCAGCCGCCUAAGGUGGGACAGAUGAUUGGGGUGAA